UACGUAGGGUGCUAGCGUUGUUCGGAAUCAUUGGGCGUAAAGCGCGUGUAGGUGGUUAAGUAAGUCGGGUGUGAAAGCCCUCGGCUCAACCGAGGAAGUGCAUCCGAAACUACUUAGCUAGAGGACGGUAGAGGAAGGUGGAAUUCCAAGUGUAGAGGUGAAAUUCGUAGAUAUUUGGAGGAAUACCGGUGGCGAAGGCGGCCUUCUGGGCCGUUCCUGACACUGAGACGCGAAAGCGUGGGUAGCAAACAGG
rnacentral:rRNA from 1 species